UAGUCCACGCCGUAAACGAUGAUAACUAGCUGUUCGGGCCCACAGGGCUUGAGUGGCGCAGCUAACGCAUUAAGUUAUCCGCCUGGGGAGUACGGUCGCAAGAUUAAAACUCAAAGGAAUUGACGGGGGCCUGCACAAGCGGUGGAGCAUGUGGUUUAAUUCGAUGAUACGCGAGGAACCUUACCUAGACUAGAAUGCAUUAUGACUAACUAGAGAAAUCUGUUGUUCCUUCGGGACAUUUUGCAAGGUGCUGCAUGGUUGUCGUCAGCUCGUGCCGUGAGGUGUUGGGUUAAGUCCCGCAACGAGCGCAACCCUCAUCAUUAGUUGCCAACAGGUUAUGCUGGGGACUCUAAUGAAACUGCCUGCGCAAGCAGAGAGGAAGGAGAGGAUGACGUCAAAUCAUCAUGGCCUUUAUGUCUAGGGCUACACACGUGCUACAAUGGAAAAUACAAUGGGACGCCACUUGGUGACAAGGAGCUAAUCCCCAAAAUUUUCCU
rnacentral:rRNA from 1 species